UACAGAGGGGGCCAGCGUUAUUCGGAAUUAUUGGGCGUAAAGGGCGCGUAGGCGGCUUUGCGUGUCUUUCGUGAAAUCCCUCGGCUCAACUGAGGACGUGCGGAAGAAACUGCAGGGCUGGAGUCCGGGAGAGGAGGGUGGAAUUCCCAGUGUAGCGGUGAAAUGCGUAGAUAUUGGGAGGAACACCGGUGGCGAAGGCGGCAUCCUGGACCGAUAUUGACGCUGAGGCGCGAAAGCCAGGGGAGCAAACGGG
rnacentral:rRNA from 1 species